CUCAGCCCGGGGCUGACUUCCAGCACUUCGGCACAGUUUCCCGGAGCCUUCGCUAAAUUUAAAUGAAAGGAGUCGUCUGGUGCCUCACCGGCUCUAAUCUCCCUUCUGAGUCUACUCUCUUCACUCACCAACCGACUGGGAUGACUGCCAGCAGCUUCUGCAGACCUUCUCACCUCGGAGGAGAGAUCGCAUCCAGCGAGAGGCCCAAAACCCGUCUCGGCCCCGACGGAGAGCCUUCCUCUGAGCCCAUCAGACAGGAGAGAGUAUUUCCCCUUAGCCGCCCUGAUUGGGACCCAAAUGAUGGAGGUAAAGAGGCUCCCAACCAGUAUCGCCAGAUUCUUAUAAGGGGGUAUGCGCGGCAGCCAGAAGCAACUAAUUUAUCUAAGGUAUCUACUGAGCCCAGAGACAACGGUAAGACAACAGACCCAUCAGUCUCUGCCGCAGCAACACUGUGCGGCAUAGUCUCAGAGAGAUGGUACAAUGGUGUUAACCGACUCCUCCAGAGGCUGCAGUAUGUGAAACCUUGAGGCCCCACCUUACUAGGCCUCCAGUUUCAGGGGAUGAACUGUAAGGAGCAGAAAUUAAACCACUUCACCACAACAUUAACAAGAAAUACCCAAGAGCUAAGCUGACUGCAGAUCUGCAUAGACCUGAUAAGAACCACCCAUGGCCCACACCCAGCCUCCUGGGGACCUCCUUGGUCCUACACUGACCCCCAAAAGUCUGCAGACUGAAGAGGCCCAGAGAGACUCUGAACAGACGCUCCUGAGAGCGGCAGGCGAAAGCCCCGGGUUGACCCACCACACUCAGACCUUCCCGCAAAAGAGUUCUCUCAGCCAGGCCUGCUUGCCCAAUGCCGAGGCGCUGAGCUAGCCCGACGCCGAGGCUCUGAGCUAGCCCGACGCCGAGGCGCUGAGCUAGCCUGAUGUUGAAGCCCUGCUCGUCUGAAGCAGAGACCUGUGUUCUGCUCAGAGGCACCACCCUUGCGGAUGCUUUCAGAAGCCGCCCUCUGUGGCUGAGACACUCGUGGGGUGCACCAGAGGUACUCUGGGAACCCUGGGAGGUCGGUUUGCUCAGUGUGUUAUGUAAAUCAGAAUGUGUGACUUCCCCACUGCAUAAUAAAAUCCUUAUUGGAACCAA